UACGAAGGGUGCAACGUUGUCUCGGGAAUUAUUGGGCGUAAAGGCGCACGUAGGCGGGCUUUUUAAGUACGGAGGGUGAAAAUCCCUGGAGCUCAACUCCAGAACUGCCUUCGAUACUGAAGAGCGUCGAGUCCGGGAGAGGUGAGUGGAAUUCCCAGUGUAGAGGUGAAAUUCGUAGAUAUUGGGAAGAACACCGGUGGCGAAGGCGGCUCACUGGCUCGUAACUGACGGCUCAUGGCACGACAGCGUGGGGAUCAAACAGG
rnacentral:rRNA from 1 species